rnacentral:rRNA from 1 species
AUUGAACUGAAGAGUUUGAUCCUGGCUCAGAUUGAACGCUGGCGGCAUGCUUUACACAUGCAAGUCGAACGGUAACAGGGUGCUUGCACCGCUGACGAGUGGCGAACGGGUGAGUAAUGCAUCGGAAUGUACCGUGUAAUGGGGGAUAGCUCGGCGAAAGCCGGAUUAAUACCGCAUACGCCCUGAGGGGGAAAGUGGGGGACCGUAAGGCCUCACGUUAUACGAGCAGCCGAUGUCUGAUUAGCUAGUUGGUGGGGUAAAGGCUCACCAAGGCAACGAUCAGUAGCGGGUCUGAGAGGAUGAUCCGCCACACUGGGACUGAGACACGGCCCAGACUCCUACGGGAGGCAGCAGUGGGGAAUUUUGGACAAUGGGCGCAAGCCUGAUCCAGCCAUGCCGCGUG